GUACACUCCUACGGGAGGCAGCAGUGGGGAAUUUUGAACAAUGGGCGAAAGCCUGAUCCAGCAAUGCCGCGUGAGUGAAGAAGGCCUUCGGGUUGUAAAGCUCUUUUGUCAGGGAAGAAACGGUGAAAGCUAAUAUCUUUUGCUAAUGACGGUACCUGAAGAAUAAGCACCGGCUAACUACGUGCCAGCAGCCGCGGUAAUACGUAGGGUGCAAGCGUUAAUCGGAAUUACUGGGCGUAAAGCGUGCGCAGGCGGUUUUGUAAGUCUGAUGUGAAAUCCCCGGGCUCAACCUGGGAAUUGCAUUGGAGACUGCAAGGCUAGAAUCUGGCAGAGGGGGGUAGAAUUCCACGUGUAGCAGUGAAAUGCGUAGAUAUGUGGAGGAACACCGAUGGCGAAGGCAGCCCCCUGGGUCAAGAUUGACGCUCAUGCACGAAAGCGUGGGGAGCAAACAGGAUUAGAAACCCGAGUAGUCCC
rnacentral:rRNA from 1 species